rnacentral:rRNA from 1 species
UUAGAGGAAGUAAAAGUNGUAACAAGGUUUCNGUAGGUGAACCUGCGGAAGGAUCAUUAUCGAAUUACCGGUUAGGGUUGUAGCUGGCCUUUCGGGGCACGUGCACGCCCGAGCCUUUAAUCCACACACACACUGUGAACCCAAUGUAAGGGCCCGUAAAAAAGGCCCCUACGUCUUCAUACACGCAUGUUUUCAUAGAAUGUAAAAUCCAUAUCCUCGCUUUAAAACGGCGUUGAUAAACUUAUACAACUUUCAACAACGGAUCUCUUGGCUCUCGCAUCGAUGAAGAACGCAGCGAAAUGCGAUAAGUAAUGUGAAUUGCAGAUUUUCAGUGAAUCAUCGAAUCUUUGAACGCACCUUGCGCUCCUUGGUAUUCCGAGGAGCAUGCCUGUUUGAGUGUCAUUAAAUCCUCAACCCCGAUCGAUUUGUUUCGACCUCGGGGCUUGGACUUGGAGCGUGCUGGCGUGAGUCGGCUCCUCUCAAAUUGAUCGGCGGAAUUCAAUCCUUGGCUUGCGGACGUCAGUGUGAUAAUCAUGUUGCGCUGUCGUUUGAGCUGUAAGGGUCCGCUUACAAUGGUCUUCGGACAACUUCAUUUAAAUUUGACCUCAAAUCAGGUAGGACUACCCGCUGAACUUAAGCAUAUCAAUAAGCGGAGGAAAAGAAACUAACAAGGAUUCCCCUAGUAACUGCGAGUGAAGCGGGAAAAGCUCAAAUUUAAAAUCUGGCGGUCUUGUGGCCGUCCGAGUUGUAAUCUGGAGAAGUGUUUUCCGCGCUGGACCGUGUAC